rnacentral:rRNA from 1 species
AUUGAACGCUGGCGGCAGGCUUAACACAUGCAAGUCGAGCGAGCGGCGGACGGGUGAGUAAUGUAUGGGAAUCUGCCUGAUGGAGGGGGAUAACUCCUGGAAACGGUAGCUAAUACCGCAUACCAUCGGAUGUACCCAGAUGUGAUUAGCUCGUAGGUGGGGUAAUGGCUCACCUAGGCGACGAUCUCUAGCUGGUCUGAUAGGAUGACCAGCCACACGUGAACUGAGACACGGCCCAGACUCCUACGGUAGGCAGCAGUGGGGAAGAUUGCACAAUGGGCGCAAGCCUGAUGCAGCCAUGCCGCGUGUGUGAAGAAGGCCUUCGGGUUGUAAAGCACUUUCAGCGAGGAGGCGUUACUCGCAGAAGAAGCACCGGCUAACUCCGUGCCAGCAGCCGCGGUAAUAC